rnacentral:rRNA from 1 species
GAUGAACGCUAGCUACAGGCUUAACACAUGCAAGUCGAGGGGAAACGAUAGAGAAAGCUUGCUUUUCUAGGCGUCGACCGGCGCACGGGUGAGUAACGCGUAUCCAACCUGCCCAUCACUUGGGGAUAACCUUGCGAAAGUAAGACUAAUACCCAAUGACGUCUCUAGAAGACAUCUGAAGGAGAUUAAAGAUUUAUCGGUGAUGGAUGGGGAUGCGUCUGAUUAGCUUGUUGGCGGGGUAACGGCCCACCAAGGCGACGAUCAGUAGGGGUUCUGAGAGGAAGGCCCCCCACAUUGGAACUGAGACACGGUCCAAACUCCUACGGGAGGCAGCAGUGAGGAAUAUUGGUCAAUGGACGAGAGUCUGAACCAGCCAAGUAGCGUGCAGGAUGACGGCCCUAUGGGUUGUAAACUGCUUUUAUAAGGGAUAAAGUGAGUCUCGUGAGACUUUUUGCAUGUACCUUAUGAAUAAGGACCGGCUAAUUCCGUGCCAGCAGCCG